GUAGUCUCGCACAGAUGCAUAUCAAUAAGCGGAGGAAAAGAAACUAACAAGGAUUCCCCUAGUAACGGCGAGUGAGGCGGGAAGAGCUCAAAUUUGAAAUCUUAAAGGGUUUCCCUUUACGAAUUGUAGUUUAAAGAAGUGUUUUCUGUUGAGGUUUUGGUAAAAGUUCUUUGGAAUAGGACAUCAUAGAGGGUGAGAAUCCCGUAUUUGACCUUUACUUUCAACUUUGUGAUACACUUUCAAAGAGUCGGAUUGUUUGGGAAUGCAGUCCAAAAUGGGUGGUAAAUUUCAUCUAAAGCUAAAUAUUGGCGAGAGACCGAUAGUGAACAAGUACCGUGAGGGAAAGAUGAAAAGAACUUUGAAAAGAGAGUUAAACAGUACGUGAAAUUGUCAAAAGGGAAGCGUUUGACACCAGUGUUGUUUUUCUGAAAAUCAAUUAAAGAACUGUUUAUGCUAAGUUGUUUAGACUUUAUCAGCUAUCUGUUUAGUUUUGAGCUUUUCUUUAAUGCACUUUUCAGUUAACAAGUCAACAUCAAUUUCUUUUGCUGUAAAAAAGCUUGAGGAAGGUGGCUUGAGAUUCGUCUUAAGCGUUUAUAGCCUCUUGCCUAUGCAGUCGGAGAGAUUGAGGUCUGCAGCGUAGAUCCUUCGGGGCUAAAUGCAUUUGUGCUAAGUUAUAGCAUUUUAUAGACAACUUGUUGACUAUGAUUUGUCUUGUAGCUUACUCGCUUAUGUUAUUUUACCUACGCUUAGGAUGUUGAUCUGUAGUGCGUGCGC
rnacentral:rRNA from 1 species